UGUUCUGUAGCUUAGUUGGUUAAAGCGCCGGACUAGCGAUAACGGAGUCGUGGGUUCGAAUCCUACCAAAACAA
rfam:Aedes albopictus isolate Foshan contig154864, whole genome shotgun sequence.